rnacentral:rRNA from 1 species
GGAAUUGCUAGUAAUGGCAGGUCAGCAUACUGCCGUGAAUACGUUCCCGGGCCUUGUACACACCGCCCGUCACACCAUGAGAGUUGGGAAUACCCGAAGCCUGUGAGCCAACUUUUAAAGAGGCAACAGGUCGAAGGUAGAAUCAAUGAUUGGGGUGAAGUCGUAACAAGGUAUC